UACGAAGGGGGCUAGCGUUGCUCGGAAUCACUGGGCGUAAAGGGUGCGUAGGCGGGUCUUUAAGUCAGGGGUGAAAUCCUGGAGCUCAACUCCAGAACUGCCUUUGAUACUGAGGAUCUUGAGUACGGGAGAGGUGAGUGGAACUGCGAGUGUAGAGGUGAAAUUCGUAGAUAUUCGCAAGAACACCAGUGGCGAAGGCGGCUCACUGGCCCGUAACUGACGCUGAGACACGAAAGCGUGGGUAGCAAACAGG
rnacentral:rRNA from 1 species